rnacentral:sRNA from 1 species
UGCGGUUCCGGACCUAGUGGGGGUAACUGCAAUUAUAAUAAAGCUGCUAUUCUGACAUCAUAGGUAUUUGUACGGACGUAAGUUUUCAACUUACUUAGGUAAAUAACCGAAGGAUCUGACCACGGGAUCAUACGACAGGAGUGUGUGCAGUUUUGUAUGGAACAGCCAAUGUGGCAAACCAUCCUGAAUCUGCCCCAGCAAUAGAGGGACGCUCCUGUGGCCACAUCCGUGCCAGCACUUGCUAUAGCCAGUGUCGUGGACUUUACCCGUUUAUCAGGAAUAGAUCAUCUUUACCCUUUUCUUUAAUUUUCAGCUCCUUGCUGGCACAAGGUGAACCCUCUUCACAGGCUUGCUGUCUCUCACCUUUGUGUGGGUCACCUGAGGUCUUCAAAGCGUUUCCUAAAGACAGCUCCUUCCUUAGUUUGGAGCUUCGAACAUUUGCCUCAUGGUCUUUUGUUAUAUUUGCAAGUGUAUUUUCUCUCAGGACAUGACACUUUCCUUCUCACAGCAGAAGUUUUAAACGUAGUGAGGGUCCCUUAGCAGUUAUUCCUCAGGGAUCUUGGGUCUUACCACAUGGUUUGUCUAAGGGCUCUUCACCAAGCCCCAAAGGCUUUCUGCUGGGUGUUCUGUGGGUCUGCGUCCUCACUGAGCUGGUCUGUGAACCAGUUAGAGUUAAUUUUCAUGAAAUCUCUUCAAGUUUGUUUGUAAAAGCAUGCAGUCCGGUUUUCCCAGUAUUUACUGGAAAUGCCUUCUUCAUCGUGGAGCUACUGGGUCUUCCUUAGGGGUCAUUACUAUACUGAUGAGGGUCUCUUUCUGAACCACCAACCCCAUCAUUGGUGCUUCUCUGUCAUCAGUACUGUAACUCCAUAGUAGGCCCUCUGGGGGAUUUCAGGGCUCCCAUUUCUGUCUUCUUCAACACUGUGUUAUUUGUUUAUUGUUUGUUGAAUUCCUUAAGACUCUAGAAGGUUUAGAGAUGCAAAUGUUCAACACUGUUCUUGAAGGUGUUUACCAGCAGGCUUUGGGUUUUUACUUCUCUUCAAAUGUCCUUGGCACUUGGCACCUCCUUGUGUCAUUUCUAUUCCCCUUCUUGUUUGACUGUGUGCAUGAUGCCUUUUGUUUUCGUUAAGUUCUGGAAGCCAUCGAUGCCCUGGUUAGAUCAUGUAUACAACCCACUCUGUGUUUAGAGCCUGACAGCUGGAGACGCUGAGCGGCAAAGAGUUUAUAAGGUGUGGCUUUUGGCACGCUCAGUGAAAAACAAAACAACUAUAAAAAGGGAUUUCUGAGAACAUCGCGACUUAUGAGUAAUCCCACUCUUCCUGCGUGGUCUAAGAGCUACUGAUCCUCCUGGGAAGGGCAGGAUGCUUGGGCCUGGGAAAGAGACCUAUGCUAUGAUGAGAAAAUCCAAGGGAGGAGGUGACUGGGCCACUGUGCAGGCCUGAAGGCUGCUGCCUUGGCUCGACAGUGAAGGUCUUGGGGACUCAGGGUAUGAUGAAGGACCUAGAACCCUAAUAACAUUAUUACUGGGAGUUUUGUGGAGUGACUGGUGUGGUCAUCAUGAGAAACAAUGAGGAAUUUUAGACCAAUAUUUAUGAGUUUUUUAAAUUAUUAUUAAUGUUUUGCUUCUGCCCUUAGCCUUCUGGGCACCAGGCCAUUAUGGACUAGAAAUCUCUGGAAAACAGUUGCAUAAAGGUUUGCUUAUAAUUUUGAAGGUGUCACAGACCUCCUGAACUUCUGUGAGCCUACCCAUUGGAAACAUGACUGAGAAGUCCCUUUUCUGAAAGACACGUUGCCACACGUGCAUGUGGGGGCUGCCAAAGCAUGUUACAGAGGUGUGUACUCUUCGAACUGUGAUGUUUUUCUACUAAUGUCAUAGACCAAAGCCUGUCAGCAAACUAUGGCCUAUGGAUCCAAUGAAACCAGAGACCUGUUUCUGUAAGUAAGAGGUCAUUGCCCACAGCCAUGAGAGCAGCCAUAGAGGGUUGGAGAGGAAAUGGGACCUCCCUGAGUGUGGCCCACUCCUUCCUUCCGUUUGAUCACCGGAACCCUCCAUUUUUCUUUGCAGCAGGUCCUCCAUUACUGGCUGUCCAGCCUGCUCAUUCCCCUCCCCACAGCCUUCUGACUUCAGACUACCAUGCUCUAUAGCCCUGAUGAUUUCUCCUGAGUGAUGCUGGAGUCAAGACCACCCCAGUCUCCUUUUUCCACGUGUGUCUCGACAGAGAGACUCAACAGAGUGUGGGUCCAGCUUAUCAUCAAAGCAUCCUGACCCGAAACCCACCGCUCUGUGUACAAAUCACUGGGUCUGCACCCGAGAAAAGGUGGCGAAUCCAGAGUCCACCCCACAAUUCUCGAGUCUCAGACGACUCAGCUGUGUCAACAGGCGAGAGAAUCUUCUUGUGUAACGGCUAAGUAGAGCUUUCUUUAACUCUAAGCCCAAGAUGGUUGUCCUUUCUCAAAGCAGGGUUCAGAACACACGACAAAGGCAGGGCCAUCCACGUGUGCAGUGUCUCUCCUUAGCUCACUGCUCUCAGGGUAGCCCUGAGGGGUGCAUAGGUUUCACAGGUGGGAUUUCCCACACCACUGUACCAAAUGUGUCAUAGUGUCCAUUUCUGGUCAUUCGGGUCACCUUCUAUUUCCAGCAAACGAGCAACCAUAUUGUCUCGGGGGAGGGGUCUGUCCCCCUCCAAGACACCACUGAUGAUUCAGUCAGCCGGUGGACACAUUCCAGCCACCACUCCUCCUUAGUCUGUUGCUUCCUGGAGACUCAAGAUGCAUUCAGAUAAUCAUUAUCCUCCAGCCUUCACUGAUCCUGACAUCAUUAGGAGAUUCUUCCAUAGCUCCCAGAUGGAGGCUUGAGGUUCUCUGAGGCUACCUCAGGUUCUUUUCACUUAGAAAUUGGAUCUGGAAGAGCCAACUUCACCUAUUUCUUCCUUCAGGGCCUCCUAAACCCUUGGUUCAUUGAGGCUGUUAUUUGGGUACUGUCUGCCCACAUGAAACAUUGUCUCUGACAGGGCCUUCACAUCUCUAACUUAUUCCCCCAUCCCCCAUCUCCCCUCCUCCCUUCCCCUUCAGCUGAGGGGAAAUGUGACAGGAGAGAAGUGGGGACCGGGAUAGCUAGAGUACUUUCAGUCCUGAAUACUCAAGGUCAGCAGACUGUACACCGUUGGUGCUAUCUGCAUCCUGGGAACUCCAAGCGCCAUUCUGUUCUUGGGAGACCGAUUUUCUUUUGUGAGACCAGCAAGGCUGUAAAGUUGAGACCACAGCGUGGUUGAGAAAGAAACACGUCGGCAAGGGAGGUUUUUUUUUCCAGUGUUUGACUCAGAGGCUGAAGUUUCAGACAGACCAAUGCUGGAAAGCCAUUCAGUGCAUCCCAGGCUGAAGGGGAGAGAGAUUUGGCUCUAUAUCCCUAGAGGUAGAGAUCUCUGGAGAGAUCUCUCUUGCUCCAUGUUGUCUUUGUCCACUUCUGAGGCUGCUCCAUGCUCAAAAGGCUGGAUCUAGGAUGCACUGGUUGUCUCCUGGCCUCAGUCUUCCGAGGAGGACAGACCUUGUUCCUCUCCGAGGAGGGUAGAGCGCUCGUUACAGCUGGUGCUCCAGGGUAGCAGAAAUGCUUGAGCAAGUUGGUCGCAACUCCGUAAGAACCGCUGUUGCCCUCGCCUGGCUGUGGUUGCCAUUCAACGACAGGAGAGCAAAAUCUCGGAGUGGUUUUAUAAUGACAGCCGUAAAUGAGGGUGCUUGAGCCCCUUUAAAUCGUUUCUUCUAAAGUGACACGAUUGCAUUUGUCUCAUUUAUACAAAGGUCACCAAGCUCAUACCCAGCUAAUGAAUGGGAAAGCGUGAAGAACUUCAGACAGCGCACAGCGGACCUAAGAGGCACAGGUGGAGGAUGGCAGGCCCUAGUGUCAGGUGUCAGCAGAAUACCUGACGACUGUUGUGUUCUGUUAGGCCCCAUGCCCACCGGGUCCUGUCAAGCCUUCCUGUGUCUGCAACGGAAAUGUCUGAAACAGGCACACAAACUGUGAGUUUGAACAUUCCUAGCUGUGUGUGCUUUCCUGCCUGGACUUUGUGCUCCGUGUAAGCUAUGUGCUCCUAUCUGUGUACAAAGGGCAACAGAUUCUGGGAAACAAGUCGGACUUGCCCCUGUUUACCACAAACCAGCCAGCUAACAAGUGAAGGGUUGUGAAAUGGUAUUCCAGGUCACCCUUCUACACACACCAGAGAGGUGGCCCUGUGGAGACAGAGCCAAGUUCUUGGGAACAAAGAGCUCCUGGGCAGUGGGAUAUAUUGUCACUGUCACCGGCUCUGACAGUGUCCAGAGCAUGAAAGGUCUCUCGCUAUGAGAAUGGAAAGAUGUCAUAGAUGCCUUAGAAUGAAGCCUGCAGUGAGAAGGACUGGGCCAGUUUGCUCUGUUUCCUGUGGUCCUCGAGGUAGGCACCAUGGACCGGAGGAGCCUGGCUGCGAGGGCAGCAUGACAUGCUUGCUUGCUUCCUUCAGUCUGUAGAGGCUACGCCUCAUACGUGCCUCCAUCAUCCUUCUUCUCGAAGAACCAGCUGUCAAGUGAAGCUGCCACUGGCAUCCUGGUGACUUACGUCUACUCCUGAGAGUUUCCUCCUACGUCAAUGAUGCCUAUGCUGACAGGGAAGCCGUCAGUGCAUUAGCAAGGACUCACGGUCUCUCUAUAAAAUGUAAAGACGCAUGCCCGAGCUUUAGGAGCUUUCCCGGUUUUCUCUUAUCCAUCCUAGUAGGUGAAAGCUGCCUUCAAGGCUGCGGGCUUCGAUUAGCUUUGCGAAGAGAGUACAUUUGUAUUUCUUUCAAAAUCAUCGAAUUGGAAGACUAUUGAUCGGCUCUGACGUCAGCUGACCACUAGCGGUUGAAACCUACACACUGUGCCUGGGGGAGAGCCAGCGUUAUCUCACAACAUCAGGGCUUUGGGCAAGGAUGAGAGGGGAAAGACAGUUCUUCAAUAGGGCACUACCGGGAAACUAAAAUAAAUCCCUUUUUAAAAUGUGUUGUUUUCCUUUCAGAAGAAGACUGGCAAUCAUUUCAAGCAACUAUGUAUCAAGUGGAGGCAGAUGCCAGGGUGUCGGAACACAGCUUACGACACUGGUGCGGGCGUACACGUCAUCUGCAGGGUUUCCCUACCUUGCCACCAGUGUGGAAGAUGCAAUCAUUUCUGGGAUCCAUCUCGUGUUUACACUGAGCGUGUGACUCAGCCUGCAGAUCUUCCAGUGGCCUGCUUUCUGAAACAUCAGGACAGUUGCAAAAAGAGGCAAGGCACCUCUGCCUUGUGGUGGAUCUGGGGAGCAUUUCAAAACUGGGUGCAGGAGGCUCACCCAGCUGUUGGGGCGGGGGGGGGGGGAGAGAGCUGUGAGAACGCUUUCGUCUGCAGGCUCACCUGCCUCACCAGGCCUCUUCACUGCCUCUGCCCAAGAUGUGAGCACUCGUCCCAUUCACCCUCUGCAGGCCACGUUCUACUCCCUCUAGCUGGUUCACAGUUAACAGCAGCCCAUGCUCCUACCCACAGUAGUUAACUUCUGUCCAGGUACCUUGGACAGGAGGUUUGGUGUCUCUCAACCACAGUUGCCAGGCCAAGUAGAGGAGUAGGCUCUUCUGACGCUGGCCACAGUUCUACCAACUGCUUGCCAGACUUGAAUGCAGGCUUCUGUGUAAGGGUCUCUUAUGCUAUGCAGUUGAUAAUUCAGGCCUAAAUAAAAUGUCUUUGACAUGCA